rnacentral:rRNA from 1 species
UACGUAGGGUGCAAGCGUUGUCCGGAAUUAUUGGGCGUAAAGAGCUCGUAGGCGGUUCGUCGCGUCGGCUGUGAAAACCCGGAGCUCAACUCCGGGCCUGCAGUCGAUACGGGCGGACUUGAGUUCGGCAGGGGAGACUGGAAUUCCUGGUGUAGCGGUGAAAUGCGCAGAUAUCAGGAGGAACACCGGUGGCGAAGGCGGGUCUCUGGGCAGUAACUGACGCUGAGGAGCGAAAGCGUGGGGAGCGAACAGG